rnacentral:rRNA from 1 species
CCCCCUCGCCGUAAGCCCAAGGUUUCCUACGCAACGUUCAUCGGCGUAGGGUGAGUCGGCCCCUAAGGCGAGGCAGAAAUGCGUAGCUGAUGGGAAGCAGGUCAAUAUUCCUGCACCAUUGUUAGAUGCGAUGGGGGGACGGAUCGCGGAAGGUUGUCCGGGUGUUGGAAGUCCCGGUCGCUGCAUUGGAGAAGGCGCUUAGGCAAAUCCGGGCGCAGGAUUCAAGGGUGUGGCGCGAGCUCCUUCGGGAGCGAAGCAAUUGGAAGUGGUUCCAAGAAAAGCCUCUAAGCUUCAGUCUAACGAUGACCGUACCGCAAACCGACACAGGUGGGCGAGAUGAGUAUUCUAAGGCGCUUGAGAGAACUCGGGAGAAGGAACUCGGCAAAUUGGUACCGUAACUUCGGGAUAAGGUACGCCCUGGUAGCUUGACUGGCCUGCGCCAGAAGGGUGAAGGGGUUGCAAUAAACUGGUGGCUGCGACUGUUUAAUAAAAACACAGCACUCUGCAAACACGAAAGUGGACGUAUAGGGUGUGACGCCUGCCCGGUGCCGGAAGAUUAAAUGAUGGGGUGCAAGCUCUUGAUUGAAGUCCCGGUAAACGGCGGCCGUAACUAUAACGGUCCUAAGGUAGCGAAAUUCCUUGUCGGGUAAGUUCCGACCUGCACGAAUGGCGUAACGAUGGCCACACUGUCUCCUCCCGAGACUCAGCGAAGUUGAAGUGUUUGUGAUGAUGCAAUCUACCCGCGGCUAGACGGAAAGACCCCAUGAACCUUUACUGUAGCUUUGCAUUGGACUUUGAACCGAUCUGUGUAGGAUAGGUGGGAGGCUAUGAAACCGGAACGCUAGUUUCGGUGGAGCCGUCCUUGAAAUACCACCCUGGUUUGUUUGAGGUUCUAACCUUGGCCCGUGAUCCGGGUCGGGGACAGUGCAUGGUAGGCAGUUUGACUGGGGCGGUCUCCUCCCAAAGCGUAACGGAGGAGUACGAAGGUACGCUAGGUACGGUCGGAAAUCGUGCUGAUAGUGCAAUGGCAUAAGCGUGCUUAACUGCGAGACCGACAAGUCGAGCAGGUGCGAAAGCAGGUCAUAGUGAUCCGGUGGUUCUGUAUGGAAGGGCCAU